rnacentral:rRNA from 1 species
GGGGGGGGGGGGGGGGGGGGGGGGGGGAGGGGGGGCGGGGGGGCGGGGGGGGGGGGGGCUCGGCGGGCGUGGGCGGCGGGCGGGUGAGGGGCGGGUGGGUAGCCUGCGUAUGGGACUGGGGUAGCUUCGGGAACCCGGAGGUGAUACCGGCUGAUGUCUUGACGCGCAUGGGUCCAUAGGGAACGACGGUUUUGCUUGGCCUUAGCGGUGGGUCCACGCUGCAUUAGCUAGUUGGGAAGGUAACGGCUUACAAAGGCAACGAUGCGUAGCCGAGCUGAGAGGGUGAUCGGCCACACUGGAACUCAGACACGGUCCAGACUCCUACGGGAGGCAGCAGUAGGGAAUCUUCCGCAAUGGGCGAAAGCCUGACGGAGCAACGCCGCGUGAGUGAUGAAGGUCUUCGGAUCGUAAAACUCUGUUAUUAGGGAAGAACAACUGUGUAAGUAACUAUGCACGUCUUGACGGUACCUAAUCAGAAAGCCACGGCUAACUACGUG